AGAGUUUGAUCCUGGCUCAGGACGAACGCUGGCGGCGUGCUUAACACAUGCAAGUUGAACGGUUCAGCCUAAACAGUAAUGUGAGGGUUGGAUAGUAGCGGACGGGUGAGUAACGCGUGAGUAACCUACCUUUGUGAGGGGGACAACAGCUGGAAACGGCUGCUAAUACCGCAUAAGGCCACGACCCUGCAUGGGGAUGUGGUAAAAGAUUUAUCGCACAAAGGUGGACUCGCGUCCCAUUAGCUAGUUGGUGAGGUAACGGCCCACCAAGGCGACGAUGGGUAGCCGACCUGAGAGGGUGAUCGGCCACACUGGAACUGAGACACGGUCCAGACUCCUACGGGAGGCAGCAGUGGGGAAUAUUGGGCAAUGGGCGCAAGCCUGACCCAGCAACGCCGCGUGAGGGAAGAAGGUCUUCGGAUUGUAAACCUCUGUCCUUGGGGACGAAAAAAAUGACGGUACCCAAGGAGGAAGCUCCGGCUAACUACGUGCCAGCAGCCGCGGUAAUACGUAGGGAGCGAGCGUUGUCCGGAAUUACUGGGCGUAAAGGGUGCGUAGGUGGCUUGGCAAGACAGAUGUGAAAUCCCCGGGCUUAACUCGGGAUCUGCAUUUGAAACUGCUGAGCUUGAGUGCAGGAGAGGAAAGCGGAAUUCCUAGUGUAGCGGUGAAAUGCGUAGAUAUUAGGAGGAACACCAGUGGCGAAGGCGGCUUUCUGGACUGUAACUGACACUGAGGCACGAAAGCGUGGGGAGCAAACAGGAUUAGAUACCCUGGUAGUCCACGCUGUAAACGAUGGAUACUAGGUGUGGGGGAGAUACAACCUCCGUGCCGCAGCAAACGCAAUAAGUAUCCCGCCUGGGGAGUACGGCCGCAAGGCUGAAACUCAAAGGAAUUGACGG
rnacentral:rRNA from 1 species